rnacentral:rRNA from 1 species
GAUGAACGCUGGCGGCGUGCUUAACACAUGCAAGUCGAACGGAAAGGCUCCUGCUUGCAGGGGUACUCGAGUGGCGAACGGGUGAGUAACACGUGGGUGAUCUGCCCUGCACUUCGGGAUAAGCCUGGGAAACUGGGUCUAAUACCGGAUAGGACGAUGGUUUGGAUGCCAUUGUGGAAAGUUUUUCGGUGUGGGAUGAGCUCGCGGCCUAUCAGCUUGUUGGUGGGGUAAUGGCCUACCAAGGCGUCGACGGGUAGCCGGCCUGAGAGGGUGUACGGCCACAUUGGGACUGAGAUACGGCCCAGACUCCUACGGGAGGCAGCAGUGGGGAAUAUUGCACAAUGGGCGGAAGCCUGAUGCAGCGACGCCGCGUGGGGGAUGACGGCCUUCGGGUUGUAAACUGCUUUCGCUAGGGACGAAGCGCAAGUGACGGUACCUGGAGAAGAAGCACCGGCUAACUACGUG